UCGCCGCCCGUGACUCGGCGAGAAGUCCAUUGAACCUUAUCAUUUAGAGGAAGGAGAAGUCGUAACAAGCUUUCCGUAGCUGAACCUGCGGAAGGAUCAUUG
rnacentral:rRNA from 1 species